AGUGAACGCUGGCGGUAGGCCUAACACAUGCAAGUCGAACGGCAGCACAGUAAGAGCUUGCUCUUACGGGUGGCGAGUGGCGGACGGGUGAGGAAUACAUCGGAAUCUACUUUUUCGUGGGGGAUAACGUAGGGAAACUUACGCUAAUACCGCAUACGACCUACGGGUGAAAGCAGGGGGUCUUCGGACCUUGCGCGAUUGAAUGAGCCGAUGUCGGAUUAGCUAGUUGGCGGGGUAAAGGCCCACCAAGGCGACGAUCCGUAGCUGGGCUGAGAGGAUGAUCAGCCACACUGGAACUGAGACACGGUCCAGACUCCUACGGGAGGCAGCAGUGGGGAAUAUUGGACAAUGGGCGGAAGCCUGAUCCAGCCAUACCGCGUGGGUGAAGAAGACCUUCGGGUUGUAAAGCCCUUUUGUUGGGAAAGAAAAGCAGCAGGUUAAUACCCCGCUGUUCUGACGGUACCCAAAGAAUAAGCACCGGCUAACUUCGUG
rnacentral:rRNA from 1 species